GGCCACAACCUGGACCGAGUGUUUACAACUAAUUGAUCACAACUAGUUACAGAUUUAUUUCUUUCUUCUCCCCUCCCACUGAUUCCCUUGACUAGCCUUAA
rnacentral:sRNA from 1 species